GCUAGCUCAACUUCUGCUUAAGAAUUCAGUAUUAGGGGGUUUAGGAUUUUCCUGUCUAUAAUGUCUAUGUUUUUAACCUGAUAUCCAUUGUUUUCUCAUCUCUUCAAGUCACAAGAUCACCAACUUAAUUAUACAAUAUCUUGAAGCUGUAGUUUAAACUUGCCCUAUAUGGGGUUCUUACUUCCACAUAAUCAUGUAAUAU
rnacentral:misc_RNA from 1 species